AUGGACAGGUGGAAGCAUGUGUCUGUGCUGUGGCCCGCCGACUCAAUGUGAGCCCGUAGGUCAAAAUCAUCCUUGCGCACCGUUGGAUUGUGAUUAUGGUCGUCAACGGUAGUAACCUUGUGUUCGAGGAGCCGGUUCUUCUCUGCCUGGGCUUCUCUCAGAAGACGCUCCAUCUCUUCAAGCUUGGCCGCAUUUGAAACACAAAUACAAAUUCUCUCUUAUCUGGAGCCAGAAGGAAAUGGAUACCCAGUGUUGAUCCGUGAUGAUGUCACAACACCGUUAAGAUGAAUGAAGACGUGAAGGAGCCACAAAUAAGAGACAAAAAGAAUCUUUACGUCGAGUUUCUGUUUCCUUGUUGGAUAAGGAGAGAAUUCUGGGAAGAAUGCUGCCGCAACUUGUGCUCUGUACCAAGGGCUGAUGGGACUAUGAAUGACCAAAAAUUAUUUUGAAUGCCAGAGAUGACAAGGGUACAGUGACUGGCAGUUGAAACAAGAAACCGAAAGAAAGAGGAAAAAGAAGCAACCAGAAGGCAAUGAAGAACACGGGACAGGAAGGUAGAAAGGAUAAGAUGGAUUUAAACAAAUCCGGGCAAAGAGGAGAACAGAAAUGAACAGAUUAGUAAACAAGACAGAGUACCUCAGCGUUCUUGAGAAAAAGAGAGGAAAGGAUGGAAGAGAGGGCGCAGAAGUUGACUGGAGGAGGAGAAAUUGUGGUAGAGACGGUGUCGUGGUAACCACUGCUAAAAGACUGACACACAUCAGCCAGAGAGGCUGUAUCCUAGCAAGCAGAGAAGGAAACCCCAUUACAAACUAAAAGGAUUCUUAAAGAGGAGGAUGGUUCUCAUUUUGGUGUCUGACAGCUGUUGA